rnacentral:rRNA from 1 species
GACGAACGCUGGCGGCGUGCUUAACACAUGCAAGUCGAACGGAAAGGCCCCUUUGGGGGUCCUCUAGUGGCGGACGGGUGCGUAACACGUGGGUAACCUGCCCUUGACAUCGUGAUAACUUCAGGAAACUGGGGCUAAUACCGGUAAGGAAUCCUUGCUGCUAGGUGGGGGUUGGAAAGCUUCGGCUGUCUUGGAUGGACUCGCGGCUUAUCAGCUGGUUGGUGCGGUAGUGGCUUACCAAGGCUUGGACGGGUAGACGCACUGAGAGAGCGACCGGCCAUCUUGGCACUGAGAGACGGCACAGACUCCUACUGUAGGCAGCAGUGGGGAAUAUUGCACCAUGGGCGGAAGCCUGAUGCAGCAGCGCCGCGGGCGGGAUGACGGCCUUCGGGUUGUAGACCGCUUUCAGCAGGGGCGAAGCUUGUUGUGACGGUACCUGCAGAAGAAGCACCGGCUAACUACGUG